rnacentral:rRNA from 1 species
AGUGAACGCUGGCGGUAGGCCUAACACAUGCAAGUCGAACGGCAGCACAGUAAGAGCUUGCUCUUACGGGUGGCGAGUGGCGGACGGGUGAGGAAUACAUCGGAAUCUACUUUUUCGUGGGGGAUAACGUAGGGAAACUUACGCUAAUACCGCAUACGACCUACGGGUGAAAGCAGGGGAUCUUCGGACCUUGCGCGAUUGAAUGAGCCGAUGUCGGAUUAGCUAGUUGGCGGGGUAAAGGCCCACCGAGGCGACGAUCCGUAGCUGGUCUGAGAGGAUGAUCAGCCACACUGGAACUGAGACACGGUCCAGACUCCUACGGGAGGCAGCAGUGGGGAAUAUUGGACAAUGGGCGCAAGCCUGAUCCAGCCAUACCGCGUGGGUGAAGAAGGCCUUCGGGUUGUAAAGCCCUUUUGUUGGGAAAGAAAAGCAGCAGGUUAAUACCCCGCUGUUCUGACGGUACCCAAAGAAUAAACACCGGCUAACUUCGUG